GUGGGGAAUUUUGGACAAUGGGCGCAAGCCUGAUCCAGCAAUGCCGCGUGCAGGAAGAAGGCCUUCGGGUUGUAAACUGCUUUUGUACGGAACGAAAAGGUCUGGGUUAAUACCCUGGGUUCAUGACGGUACCGUAAGAAUAAGCACCGGCUAACUACGUGCCAGCAGCCGCGGUAAUACGUAGGGUGCGAGCGUUAAUCGGAAUUACUGGGCGUAAAGCGUGCGCAAGCGGUUUUGUAAGACAGGCGUGAAAUCCCCGGGCUCAACCUGGGAAUGGCGCUUGUGACUGCAAAGCUGGAGUGCGGCAGAGGGGGAUGGAAUUCCGCGUGUAGCAGUGAAAUGCGUAGAUAUGCGGAGGAACACCGAUGGCGAAGGCAAUCCCCUGGGCCUGCACUGACGCUCAUGCACGAAAGCGUGGGGAGCAAACAGGAUUAGAAACCCUUGUAGUCC
rnacentral:rRNA from 1 species